rnacentral:rRNA from 1 species
AUUGAACGCUGGCGGCAGGCCUAACACAUGCAAGUCGAGCGGAUGAAGGGAGCUUGCUCCUGGAUUCAGCGGCGGACGGGUGAGUAAUGCCUAGGAAUCUGCCUGGUAGUGGGGGAUAACGUCCGGAAACGGGCGCUAAUACCGCAUACGUCCUGAGGGAGAAAGUGGGGGAUCUUCGGACCUCACGCUAUCAGAUGAGCCUAGGUCGGAUUAGCUAGUUGGUGGGGUAAAGGCCUACCAAGGCGACGAUCCGUAACUGGUCUGAGAGGAUGAUCAGUCACACUGGAACUGAGACACGGUCCAGACUCCUACGGGAGGCAGCAGUGGGGAAUAUUGGACAAUGGCGAAAGCCUGAUCCGGCCAUGCCGCGUGUGUGAAGAAGGUCUUCGGAUUGUAAAGCACUUUAAGUUGGGAGGAAGGGCAGUAAGUUAAUACCUUGCUGUUUUGACGUUACCAACAGAAUAAGCACCGGCUAACUUCGUG